CCGCCCCCUUUAGUUACUGUUGCUACAUCCGACAAACAAAUGGUCAAACACGACCAGCGCGACAGAUUGCCAUGACUGGAAGAGGUAUACCCGUGCGUGUCAGUGACUUUUUUGGAGCAAUACUUCUGCGAUAUCCUCCAGAUCGAGGCAAAAGGUGUUACAGUAUGCAGUGGAGGGAUAUAUUCAAAAUAUAAAAAUAGGCAAUGAAGGAGACACGACUACUAUCGAGGCUAAUGCUUACCGGUCUCAAGCGAAAUCUGAGAAACCCCAUGACCUGUACCUCAAAUGCAACCAGCACAUGCUUGUGGACCAGUCAUGCUCUUGCACUGCCGGUUUGUCUCUGAUGCAGAGCUGAGGAUAGGGGUGUCGACCCCCUGCCAGUAAAGGAGGAGUUCUUUGCUGCCAUCUCUGCUGCUGCCCGACGCCUGCGCAUCCCCAUGCCGGUACCUGCCCCAGAGGAAGGGGAUGAUUUGUUCGAGGCUGCCCGCUGGACGUAAAUACGCAGAGGAGCUGUGGAGCGCUACUGUGGAGGGGAGGUUGGAGACACUGAGCAGGGGCAUUCCGCCCCUGGAAACAGCUCUGGUGUCCUCUCUGGUUCCGGGCCUGAGGACCUGGUCCGACAAGCGCCCCGCCCUGCCUUUGGUGAGGGACCAUGUCUCCGCCGGAGAAACAAUACACCCUUUCAGUGCAGUCCCUCGCAGCCUGCAACAAUGUGGGUCUCCUGGCUGCGGCUGUGGCCGGGAUGACGGAGGGUCGCACCUCUUUGACCCCGGUGGGGUGGUGCGUGCCUCGGCGGCCAUUUUGAAGUUGACCCAGGCCAAUUCCCUCUCGGGUGGUCGGGUGAUGGCAACGUCGGUGGUUCGGCACCUAUGGCUGGCAUUGACCUCCCUGAAGGAGCCGGAAAAGGUUCCGUUCCUGAACGCUCUGCUUCAGGAGGAAGCGUGUUCGGUGCUGCGGUCACCGAGGCCCUGGUGCGUCAGAAGGACAGGGAGGAGCAUCUCCUUUUGGGUCCCCUCUUACCCGUCCCUUCUUCAUCUGCGGCGUCCUCUGCUCCUCCUGAGGCCUCGUGGAGGCCAGGGUGUCGUUUACAUCGCCGGGCACAACAUUGCCGCGCUAAGGAGGCGAGUGCAGCUGAACCGGAUGCGGCGCGUCCGAUGCUGCAUGAGGUGAGGGAACCUUGCCCCCAGAGGUCGUCCCCUCCUCCUCCCCGCCGACAGAACAAUGGGGGCCGCAAGGCCCCGGCGUUUAAGAAAUGGUAUACCUGACUCUUUGGGGGGGAGUGUCCCUUGGACGCUUCCCCACCGUGUGCGUUUGGUGGGGAGCUCCUCUGUUUCGGUAAAUAAAGUUGUGUGUUCACCUUAUUUACCUGUGCCUUCAUUUCAGAUGGCCGCUGUAGGCCUGAGGUCAGAGGUGUCCUACUCCAUAAGUCUGUGACUUCCCUCCCUGCCGCCCCUGAGUUGGCUGGCUGGGAUGGGGGUCCGGGCAGUUUUCUGUUGGGCGGGGCAGACUUCUCUGCUCGCCCCUCUGUGGUUUCAGGUCAGCUGUGCUCACCUGCGCCGCCUGCUGGAGCCUCUGUCUCCUUGGUUACGGCUGUAACCAGUGGGGAGACGGAGGGCUCGGCCCAGGAGUCACAUGCGUUGUCCUCUCCCUUUCAGGUUGGCUCUGCCUUGGGCGGGUUGGCUGUUCGCGGACAGCCCUCCUACGGCAGUCAGGGCCAAGGAUGUGUACAAUCAGUGGCUGACCACAGCCCCUCAGCUGCGUGCUCGCCCACUCUCUCUGUUCUACUCAGAGUGGCGUCGGCUAUGCACUCUACCGGGGUGGCUAGGCGUGACGCUGAGGAAGGGGUACACACUGCAGUUUCACUGCCUGCCUCCCCAUUCUCGGGGGUUGUAGAGACGGGAAGAAGACGGGGGGCAUGAGCCUGAUUCUGGACCUGCGCAUUUUAAAUAAAUGCGUGUCAAAGAGGCCGUUUUGCAUGCUCAUGACGAAACGUCUCCUGGAGUGUGUGCACCCUGGGGAUUUUUGCAUCAGCAUCGAUCUGAAGGAUGCCUACCUCCAUGUUCCUGUUCUGCUGCGCCACAGGAAGUUCCUGCGGUUUGCCUUUCAGGGUCAGGCAUACGAGUACACAAGGUUUCCGUUCAGGUACGCGUUGGCCCCCUGCACUUUAACCAAGUGCGUGGAGGCUGCGUUGGAACCGCUGAGGUGUCAGGGGGUCAGGGUUCUGGCCUACCUGGACGACCUGUGGGUUCUGGCACAUUUGGCGGAACAGGCAAGGGUUCACACAUUCCGGUUGGUGACUCCGCUCACUCGCCUGGGCUUUGCAGUGAAAUGAAAGAGGAGUGCCCCCCAGCCCAGUCAACUGGAGGUAUUUCUGGGCCUCCACUUAUCUACAGUCUCUAUGAGGGCUUGGAUGUCCGAGGUGCGGAGAGAGGCCACUCUGCGGGCCUUGGCUCAGCACGGUGUCGGUGUACGCGAUCAUGUCUCUCCUGGGCUUGAUGUCGUCGGCCCACAUGGUGGUCUUACUGGGUCUGCUACACAUGAGAGACCUUCAACGCUGGUUCGCCCUCCUCUGUUUGGAUCCGGUGCGUCUCCGGUGAUGGUUGGUCAAGAUCCCGGGCUCUCUGGAGCGGGAUUUGGCAUUCUGGAGAGACCCGCGCACUCUGCUGCGUGGGGUUCCUAUGGGCAGGGUGUUGGUUCGAGUCCCCGUGUUUACAGAUGCGUCCCUGACGGGCUGGGGCGGAACAUGCCAGUCGCGCUCGGCCAGAGGCAUGUGGCCUCCUUCGGAGCGACACAUCAACUGGCUGGAGUUGGACACGAUCCGGUGCAUGUUACUACACUUCGCACCGGCCCUGCGGGGUUGGUGUGGUCGGACAACCGCACGGCAGUUUGCUUAUGUGAACAGGCAGGGCGGGGUCAGGUCUCUGCCCUCCACCUGUUGGGAAUGGGCGCACAUGCACCUCAGGUCUCUGACUCAAUGUGGGCGCGGACUUGCUGUCCCGGGGAGGUCCCCGGGACGACGAGUGGCGUCUUCAUCCUGACAUUGUGGCAGAGAUCUGGAGACGCUUCGGGAAGGCUCAGGUGGAUCUGUUCGCGUCCCGGGAGGAUGCGCACUGCCCCCUGUGAAAUUCUCUUCGAGCGCAGGACAGGCCUCCGUUGGGCGUGGACGCGUUGGCUCAUCGGCCGUGGCCGAGAGUACUGUUGUACAUGUUUCCCCCUCUAAAGUGCAUUCUCCCUGUCAUAUCUCGAGUGCGUUCAGAGGGGUUGUCGCUCAUUCUGAUCACCCCCUUUCGCCCGGGUGCCAUGUGGUUUGCAGAGGUGGCCUCAUGGCGGUGGGGACGCCGUGGCCGAUCCCUUACCGCCAUGGGGCGUUGUCACAGGCGAACGGCUCAAUCGGGGUGUUCCUUGUGCUGGGUCUGCCACUGCUGGCCUGGCUCCUGAAAGGCGCCAGCAGCGUACAGUCCAAUUGCACAAGUGCGCAACAGAGAGUCAACAACAAGCCAGUGACUCUUCCCCCGAAAGGCAUUGGAGGGAGGGCAUCCCAGUGGCGACGAGAGCCCACCUGGCAAGACAGCAAGGGUGGACAGUAUCAAGCCUUCUGGUCACCUUCACGUCCCCGGGCCAGGCUACACCUAAUUAUAAACCAUGCUGUAGAGAUGAGUUUUUAGUAGACACUUGAAAGUUUGCACUGAGUUUGCAUUUCUAACCUUAAUUGGCAGAUCAUUCCACAGUAGUGGAGCUCUAUGAGAAAAGGCCCUGCCACCAGCUGUUUGUUUAGAAAUUCUAGGUACAAUUAAAAGGCCAGCAUCUUGUGAUCGUAGGUUACGUGUAGGUAUGUAUGGCUGGAUCAUUUCAGCAAGGUAAGUAGGAGCAAGUCCAUGUAUUGAGUUAUUGGUUAAGAGUAAAACCUUAAAAUCAGCCCUAACGCCAACAGGCAGCCAGUGUAAGGAUGCUAGGACAGGAGUAAUGUGUUAAAAAUGUUUUGUUCUAGUUAGGAUUCUAGCAGCCGUGUGCAGCACUAAUUGUUUAUUUAUAAAUUUGUCUGGAUAACCAGAGAGAAGAGCAUUGCAGUAAUCUAGUCUAGAAGUAACGAAAGCAUGGAUACAUUUUUCUGCAUCAGUUUUUGAUAGAAAGUUUCAAAUUUUUGCGAUGUUUCGAAGAUGAAAAUAAGCAACUCUUGAGACAUAUUUUAUAUGUUCUUCAAAGGAGAGGUCAGGGUCAAGGGUAACGCCAAGGUUUUUUACAGUUUUUUGGGAUACGACCAUGCAGCCGUCGAGGUUCACAGUGAGAUCUGCUAACAACGCUCUUUGUUUUUUGGGUCCUAAAACGAGCAUUUCUGUUUAAGAAAUGUAAGAGUUUAAGAGCAAGAAAUUAUCUGUCAUUAAACCAGGCUAGAACAUGUCCACAUAGCCCAAUAUGGGUUUCCAGUCUCUCUAAGAGAAGGGAGUGAUCAAUAGUGUCAAAAGCAGCACUAUGGUCAAGAAGCAAGAGGAUGGAUGCGGAACCUUUGUCUGAGGCCAUUAGAAUGUCAUUUGUUACCUUCACGAGUGCAGUCUCAGUACUAUGAUGGGAUCUGAAACCGGACUGGAG
ensembl:lncRNA